rfam:Asian citrus Psyllid, Diaphorina citri - Florida Strain, whole genome shotgun sequence.
GCAAUAGUUAGCUUAGUUGGUAGUGCGUCUGCCUUGUAAGCGCUAGGCCGCGGGUUCGAUUCCCGCCCGGAGCG